GAUGAACGCUAGCGGGAGGCUUAAUACAUGCAAGUCGAACGGUAACAGGGGAAACCUAGUUUUCUGCUGACGAGUGGCGCACGGGUGAGUAACGCGUACGGAUCUGCCUUAUACUGGAGGACAUACACUGGAAACGGAGUAAAUACUCCAUAGUCUCGUUUACGAGUAAAGCUACGGCGGUAUAAGAUGAUCGUGCGUUAGAUUAGCUAGUUGGUAAGGUAACGGCUUACCAAGGCGAUGAUCUAUAGGGGGCGUGAGAGCGUGAACCCCCACACGGGUACUGAGACACGGACCCGACUCCUACGGGAGGCAGCAGUAAGGAAUAUUGGACAAUGGAGGCAACUCUGAUCCAGCCAUCCUGCGUGAAGGAAGAAGGCGCUCAGCGUUGUAAACUUCUUUUAUCUACCAAGAAAGGUAUUCAUGUAUGAGUAUUUGACGGUAGUAGAUGAAUAAGCACCGGCUAACUCCG
rnacentral:rRNA from 1 species